UACGGAGGGUGCGAGCGUUGUCCGGAAUCACUGGGCGUAAAGGGCGCGUAGGCGGCUGGGGAAGUCGGCGGUGAAAGCCCGGAGCUCAACUCCGGGUCGGCCGUCGAGACUCCUCGGCUCGAGCUCACUAGAGGCAGAUGGAAUUCCGGGUGUAGCGGUGGAAUGCGUAGAGAUCCGGAAGAACACCCGUGGCUAAGGCGGUUCUCUAGUACGGUACUGACGCUGAGACGCGAAAGCGUGGGGAGCGAACAGG
rnacentral:rRNA from 1 species